GACGAACGCUGGCGGCGUGCCUAAUACAUGCAAGUCGAGCGGACGGAUGGGAGCUUGCUCCCAGACCGUCAGCGGCGGACGGGUGAGUAACACGUGGGCAACCUGCCUGUAAGACUGGGAUAACUCCGGGAAACCGGAGCUAAUACCGGAUAACUCUUUCCCUCACAUGAGGGAAAGCUGAAAGAUGGCAUCUCGCUAUCACUUACAGAUGGGCCCGCGGCGCAUUAGCUAGUUGGUGAGGUAACGGCUCACCAAGGCGACGAUGCGUAGCCGACCUGAGAGGGUGAUCGGCCACACUGGGACUGAGACACGGCCCAGACUCCUACGGGAGGCAGCAGUAGGGAAUCUUCCGCAAUGGACGAAAGUCUGACGGAGCAACGCCGCGUGAGUGAUGAAGGUGUUCGGAUCGUAAAACUCUGUUGUCAGGGAAGAACAAGUACCGGAGUAACUGCCGGUACCUUGACGGUACCUGACCAGAAAGCCACGGCUAACUACGUG
rnacentral:rRNA from 1 species